rnacentral:piRNA from 2 species
UUUCAAGAAGUUUGGCUGUCAAGGAA